UACGUAGGGGGCAAGCGUUGUCCGGAAUCAUUGGGCGUAAAGCGCGUGUAGGCGGCUGGGUAAGUCCGCUCUGAAAGCCCGGGGCUCAACCCCGGGAGGCGGGUGGAUACUGCUCAGCUCGAGUCCGGAAGAGGAAAGUGGAAUUCCUGGUGUAGCGGUGAAAUGCGCAGAUAUCAGGAAGAACACCAAUGGCGAAAGCAGCUUUCUGGGACGGUACUGACGCUGAGACGCGAAAGCGUGGGGAGCGAACAGG
rnacentral:rRNA from 1 species